rnacentral:rRNA from 1 species
AGGGUGUAAACGCUGCAGACUUGGUGUUGGGAACCCUUCGGGGGUGCUCAGUGCCGGAGAGAAGUUGUUAAGUCUGCUACUUGGGGAGUACGUCCGCAAGGAUGAAACUUAAAGGAAUUGGCGGGGGAGCACCGCAACGGGAGGAGCCUGCGGUUUAAUUGGACUCAACGCCGGGAAGCUCACCGGAUAAGACAGCGGAAUGAUUGCCGGGCUGAAGACUCUGCAUGACUAGCUGAGAGGAGGUGCAUGGCGUAGACGUCU